rnacentral:snRNA from 1 species
GUGCUCGCUUCGGCAGCACAUAUACUAAAAUUGGGACUAUACAGAGAAGAUUAGCAUGGCCCCUUCGCAAGGAUGACACGCAAAUUCAUGAAGCGUUCCAUAUUUUU